GCGUGGGGGAUGACGGCCUUCGGGUUGUAAACCUCUUUCGGCCCCGACGAAGCGUGAGUGACGGUAGGGGUAGAAGAAGCACCGGCCAACUACGUGCCAGCAGCCGCGGUAAUACGUAGGGUGCGAGCGUUGUCCGGAAUUAUUGGGCGUAAAGAGCUCGUAGGCGGUCUGUCGCGUCGAUCGUGAAAACUUGGGGCUUAACCCUGAGCUUGCGGUCGAUACGGGCAUGACUGGAGUUCGGCAGGGGAGACUGGAAUUCCUGGUGUAGCGGUGAAAUGCGCAGAUAUCAGGAGGAACACCGGUGGCGAAGGCGGGUCUCUGGGCCGAUACUGACGCUGAGGAGCGAAAGCGUGGGGAGCAAACAGGAUUAGAUACCCUGGUAGUCCACGCCGUAAACGGUGGGCGCUAGGUGUGGGGGCCAUUCCACCGGUCUCUGUGCCGUAACUAACGCAUUAAGCGCCCCCCUGGGGAGUACGGCCGCAAGGCU
rnacentral:rRNA from 1 species